rnacentral:rRNA from 1 species
AAUCUUGCGCAAUGGGCGAAAGCCUGACGCAGCCAUGCCGCGUGAAUGAUGAAGGUCUUAGGAUUGUAAAAUUCUUUCACCGGGGACGAUAAUGACGGUACCCGGAUCAGAAGCCCCGGCUAACUUCGUGCCAGCAGCCGCGGUAAUACGAAGGGGGCUAGCGUUGCUCGGAAUUAAUGGGCGUAAAGGGGGCGUAGGCGGAGCGUUAAGUCAGAGGUGAAAUCCCAGGGGUCAACCCUGGGACUGUCUUUGAUACUGGCGAUUUUGAGUAUGAGAGAGGUAUGUGGAACUUCGGGUGUAUAGGUGAAAUUCGUAGAUAUUCGGAAGAACACCAGUGGCGAAGGCGACAUACUGGCUCAUUACUGACGCUGAGGCGCUAAAGCGUGGGGAGCAAACAG